rnacentral:rRNA from 1 species
UACGUAGGGUCCGAGCGUUGUCCGGAAUUAUUGGGCGUAAAGGGCUCGUAGGCGGUUCGUCACGUCGGGAGUGAAAACUCGGAGCUCAACUCCGAGCCUGCUUCCGAUACGGGCAGACUAGAGGUAGGCAGGGGAGAGCGGAACUCCUGGUGUAGCGGUGGAAUGCGCAGAUAUCAGGAGGAACACCGGUGGCGAAGGCGGCUUGCUGGGCCUUACCUGACGCUGAGGAGCGAAAGCGUGGGGAGCGAACAGG